UACAUAUAUAUAUAUAUAUAUUAGAAUACUAGUUGCCUGUCGAAGAAGACGUCUUCAAACUUUACUUGUUUUGCUUUUGGACUGAAUGAUCUUCAAUCUUGAACUUCCAAGGCAAAUGUUUGACAGAGCUUCUGACGUCUUCGAUCAACUCGGUUAUUUAUCCUAAACACGACGAGAGGAAGCAAGCGACGUUCAACCGAUAGCAUCAAAGAUAUCACUCCUGUGAGCUGGUAUCUGGGAUAAUUUGGCUUUCUCUACGACAACUCGCCCAAGGAGCAAGAGUUCUAGCACCAAUAAAGACCACUCCUCAUUCCCCUAGAAUGACGCACGUGAGAAGACACACAUAGGUACGACUAAAAUAUAAAAAAAAUAUUCUCAAAAGAAUGACACGUGGUUUGAAAUUGGAAUACAUUACGUCCAAGAUGUUUUAAUAUCAAAGGGUUUCCACACAUGGAUGAUUGAAUGGUCUUAGCACUUAUUUCCUUAAGUCGACAAAUAUAUCGUUCAGAAUUUAUUGCCAAGGGCUUCCUAAUACUUGAGAUUUGAAGGUCUAUCAAAUUGGAUUGGACUUCCUUAGUCAAAUAAAGAUGCAAGUUCUUUAGUCAAACAAAGAUGCGAGCGAGUCACUGAAUAGAGGAGCUAUGAAGAAUAUGAAGUCAUCUAUUUAUCCCGACGACAGAACAAUAAAUCUGG
rnacentral:misc_RNA from 1 species